UUAGCUUAUGCAAUUCAUUCAUGUUCUUAUCAUUACCAGUGCACUUGUUAUUGAUUCACUCAAAUCUUAAGCGUUCACUCUUUGCUUCUUCAAAAAAAAAUUGAAAAACAAGUUUGAGACAAACACCAAAAUGAAAACAGUUGACAAAUUGCUCUACUACUUGAAAAAAAAAACUAAUUGAUAUAAAACCAAUAUGCAAAAUUUAUGGUGUAUAUACCAACAAAAUUACCCCAACAUUCAACAAAGUUCAAACAUC
rnacentral:lncRNA from 1 species